GGUUCACAUGCAUCAAGAAAAAUAUAAGAAUUAGCUAUCAAUUCAAAGUGAAAUUAAUCAUAUCUAGACAUCUAAGUUUCACAUAUAAAUUCUUUUCAUGAUUCAAAAAUAGAAUUGAUCCGAGAUCCCACACAAAAUAACAACUACCCAUCUUUAGAAUUUAUAUACAAACUGGAGAAAAGAAAAGACAAGGCAUACAUUGUCAAGGAAACCAUAGGGCAUCAUCAUUCAUGAGGUUGCGUUAAAUGCUACACUGCAUUAAAAUAAAAUCAUAUAGGCUAACCAGUAACUACCUUUUG
rnacentral:lncRNA from 1 species